rnacentral:rRNA from 1 species
UGAGCAAUCUGCCCUUCACAUCGGAAUAACCAUUGGAAACGAUGGCUAAUACCGAAUAUGACUUCGGAUCGCAUGAUCUGAAGUGGAAAGCUCCGGCGGUGAAGGAUGAGCUCGCGGCCUAUCAGCUUGUUGGUGAGGUAAUAGCUCACCAAGGCGAUGACGGGUAGCCGGCCGUGGGGAGGGUGACCGGCCACACGUGGGACUGAGAUACGGCCCAGACCUCCG